ACGGGGUGCAGCAGGCGCGAAACCUCCACAAUGCACUCACGUGCGAUGGGGUUACCUCGAGUGCCACCUUUGAAGGGUGGCUUUUCCGUAGUGUAAAUAGCUAUGGGAAUAAGAGGGGGGCAAGACUGGUGUCAGCCGCCGCGGUAACACCAGCCCCUCGAGUGGUGGGGAUGAUUAUUUGGCCUAAAGCGUUCGUAGCCGGUCAUGAAAGUCCUUCGUUAAAUCCAACGUCUCAAGCGUUGGCCUGCGAGGGAUACUACAUAACUAGAGGGUGGGAGAGGUCAGCGGUAUUCUGGGGGUAGGGGCGAAAUCCUUUGAUCCCCGGAGGACCACCAGUGGCGAAGGCUGCUGACUAAAACACGCCUGACGGUCAGGGACGAAAGCUGGGGUAGCGAACCGGAUUAGAUACCCGGGUAGUCCCAGCCGUAAACGAUGCAUGCUAGGUGUUGGGUCGGCCAUGCGCUGCCCCAGUGCCGCAGGGAAGCCAUUAAGCAUGCCGCCUGGGGAGUACGGCCGCAAGGCUGAAACUUAAAGGAAUUGGCGGGGGAGCACAACCAGGCGUGAAGCCUGCGGUUUAAUUGGAGUCAACGCCGGGAAACUUACCGGAAGCGACAGCAGAAUGAAGGCCAGGCUGAAGACCUUGCUAGACAAGCUGAGAGGUGGUGCAUGGCCGUCGCCAGUUCGUGCCGUGAGGUGUCCUCUUA
rnacentral:rRNA from 1 species